UGCUGGAGCGAAACCGGAGUCUGCACGAGGCCAACGCCCAGCUGAGCAGGGAGCUGCAGGUGUCUGUGGAUCACACGGCGCACCUGCGUGAGAAGCUCAUCCUGUCGGAGAUGGAGCGCCAGAAGCUGCUGGCGCGCUUUGCCGAGCUGAAGGAUCAUGAAGCGUGCCGGCUUGACAUCAUGUCCCUAGUGGACACGCAGACUGAUGAGGGGGGGCUCAGGCAGCAG